ACAGCAAUCUGCACUAGGUCCAUGCAGUUGGAAAAAGAAGGGUGUCCAACGAGUAAAGAGGUCUAAGUCCCCUGUGGCUGAACAGGUGAAGCUUCUGCGGGAGUGAUGCCCGGCUG